GAUGAACGCUGGCGGCGUGCCUUACACAUGCAAGUCGAACGGCAGCAUGACGUGUAGCAAUACACGUUGAUGGCGAGUGGCGAACGGGUGAGUAAUAUAUCGGAACAUGUCCUGUAGCGGGGGAUAACGCGUCGAAAGAUGUGCUAAUACCGCAUACGCUCUACGGAGGAAAGCGGGGGUCGCAAGACCUCGCGCUAUAGGAGUGGCCGAUANCGGAUUAGCUAGUUGGCGGGGUAAAAGCCCACCAAGGCGACGAUCCGUAGCUGGUCUGAGAGGAUGAUCAGCCACACUGGAACUGAGACACGGUCCAGACUCCUACGGGAGGCAGCAGUGGGAAUUUUGGACAAUGGGCGCAAGCCUGAUCCA
rnacentral:rRNA from 1 species